rnacentral:rRNA from 1 species
GACGAACGCUGGCGGCGUGCUUAACACAUGCAAGUCGAACGGUAAGGCCCUUCGGGGUACACGAGUGGCGAACGGGUGAGUAACACGUGGGUGAUCUGCCCUGCACUUCGGGAUAAGCCUGGGAAACUGGGUCUAAUACCGGAUAGGACCACUGCCUGCAUGGGUGGUGGUGGAAAGCUUUUGCGGUGUGGGAUGGGCCCGCGGCCUAUCAGCUUGUUGGUGGGGGGAUGGCCUACCAAGGCGACGACGGGUAGCCGGCCUGGGAGGGUGACCGUCCACACUGGGACUGAGAUACGGCCCAGACUCCUACGGGAGGCAGCAGUGGGGAAUAUUGCACAAUGGGCGCAAGCCUGAUGCAGCGACGCCGCGUGAGGGAUGACGGCCUUCGGGUUGUAAACCUCUUUCAGCACCGACGAAGCGCAAGUGACGGUAGGUGCAGAAGAAGGACCGGCCAACUACGUGCCAGCCGCCGCAGUAA